UGCGUAGGUGGUCAUGUGUGUCGGGUGUGAAAGCCCACGGCUCAACCGUGGAAUUGCACUCGAAACUGCAAGACUAGAGUACAGGAGGGGAGAGCGGAAUUCUUGGUGUAGCGGUGAAAUGCGUUGAUAUCAAGAAGAACACCGGUGGCGAAGGCGGCUCUCUGGAAUGUUACUGACACUGAUGCACGAAAGCUGGGGGAGCGAACA
rnacentral:rRNA from 1 species